UGGGGGAUAUUGGACAAUGGGGGAAACCCUGAUCCAGCGAUGCCGCGUGAGGGAAGAAGGUUUUCGGAUUGUAAACCUCUGUGGAGGGGGACGAUAAUGACGGUACCCCUUUAGGAAGCCACGGCUAACUACGUGCCAGCAGCCGCGGUAAUACGUAGGUGGCGAGCGUUGUCCGGAAUUACUGGGUGUAAAGGGAGUGUAGGCGGGAAAGCAAGUCAGAAGUGAAAACUAUGGGCUUAACCCAUAGCCUGCUUUUGAAACUGUUUUUCUUGAGUGAAGUAGAGGCAAGCGGAAUUCCUAGUG
rnacentral:rRNA from 1 species